rnacentral:rRNA from 1 species
GAGGAUCCAAGCGUUAUCCGGAUUUAUUGGGUUUAAAGGGUGCGUAGGCGGUUUUAUAAGUUAGAGGUGAAAUCUCGGGGCCCAACUCCGAAAUUGCCUCUAAUACUGUAGGACUAGAGAGUAGUUGCGGUAGGCGGAAUGUAUGGUGUAGCGGUGAAAUGCUUAGAGAUCAUACAGAACACCGAUUGCGAAGGCAGCUUACCAAACUAUAUCUGACGUUGAGGCACGAAAGCGUGGGGAGCAAA